UACGGGGGGGGGCAAGCGUUGUUCGGAAUUACUGGGCGUAAAGGGCCAGUAGGCGGCCAACUAAGUCGGAUGUGAAAUCCCCAGGCUCAACUUGGGAACUGCAUCCGAUACUGGAUGGCUUGAAUUCGGGAGAGGGAUGCAGAAUUCCAGGUGUAGCGGUGAAAUGCGCAGAUAUCAGGAGGAACACCGGUGGCGAAGGCGGGUCUCUGGGCCGUAACUGACGCUGGAGGAGCGAAAGCAUGGGGAGCGAACAGGA
rnacentral:rRNA from 1 species